CGGACGGGUGAGUAACGCGUGGAUAACCUGCCCCAUACCGGGGGAUAACAGCCGGAAACGGCUGCUAAUACCGCAUAAGCGCACAGGAAUGCAUAUUCCAGUGUGAAAAACUCCGGUGGUAUGGGAUGGAUCCGCGUCUGAUUAGCUAGUUGGCGGGAUAGAGGCCCACCAAGGCGACGAUCAGUAGCCGACCUGAGAGGGUGGCCGGCCACAUUGGGACUGAGACACGGCCCAAACUCCUACGGAAGGCAGCAG
rnacentral:rRNA from 1 species